GAUGAACGCUGGCGGCGUGCCUAAUACAUGCAAGUCGAGCGAACAGACGAGGAUCUUUCUCCUCUUACAUUAGCUGCGGACGGGUUAGUAACACGUUGAUCACCUACCUUUAAGACUGGGAUAACUUCGUGAAACCGGAUCUAAUACCGGAUAAUAUAUUGAUCCGCAUUGUUCCAUAGUUAAAGACGGUUUUGCUGUCACUUAUAGAUGGAUCCGCGCCGCAUUAGCUAGUUGGUAAGGUAACGGCUUACCAAGGCAACGAUGCGUAGCCGACCUGAGAGGGUGAUCGGCCACACUGGAACUGAGACACGGUCCAGACUCCUACGGGAGGCAGCAGUAGGGAAUCUUCCGCAAUGGGCGAAAGCUUGAAGGAGCAACGCCGCGUGAGUGAUGAAGGUCUUCGGAUCGUAAAACUCUGUUAUAAGGGAAGAACAAAUGUGAAAGUAACUAUGCACGGCUUGACGGUACCAAAUCAGAAAGCCACGGCUAAAUACGUG
rnacentral:rRNA from 1 species